AUUCCCUUUAUUUUCAUGCAUUAAAUUUGUUGAUAGAUGGUUCUCUUACCCUUCCUGUCGCAUCCCCUUUUGUCUCUUCUUUCUCCAUUUCCCCAGAAAGUGCUUCAAAGAAUUGUAUUGAUGUGAGGAUUGCUGAACACUAUCUGCAUAGGAUAUUAGGAUUUUGUUUGUGAUCUCUUUCUAUCAUGCAUGUACAAUUGUAGUCUAGUAUUUUAUUGUUCCUUCAAUAGCAUUGAGAUGUGACAAUUAAUUGGUUUUAUAAGUUAUGCAAAAAGAUAAAAUGUUAUGAAUUAUUAGCAUUUCUUAUUUUAAUUUACUUCAACCUUGGAUUUUGAUGAAUCCUUUAAACAUGUAACCGUAUUUGUUUUUCUCCUUGCUUAAAAGAUGAAAAAAGUUCAAUCUUCAGUCUUAUUGCCAUUUAUAUUAAAUUGAAGCAUUUUAAGACACCAUUUGAUUACUGCUAGAAAAAAGCAACAAAAAUGGUUUUGUUGCUGUAUCAAUAACCUAUGAAGUAUUAUUGUUCUUAGCAACCUUUUAGUGCCAAGAGUGCUAUGUUCUUGAUUCUUAUA
rnacentral:misc_RNA from 1 species